rnacentral:rRNA from 1 species
GAUGAACGCUGGCGGCGUGCCUAAUACAUGCAAGUCGAGCGAACGGACGAGAAGCUUGCUUCUCUGAUGUUAGCGGCGGACGGGUGAGUAACACGUGGAUAACCUACCUAUAAGACUGGGAUAACUUCGGGAAACCGGAGCUAAUACCGGAUAAUAUUUUGAACCGCAUGGUUCAAAAGUGAAAGACGGUCUUGCUGUCACUUAUAGAUGGAUCCGCGCUGCAUUAGCUAGUUGGUAAGGUAACGGCUUACCAAGGCAACGAUGCAUAGCCGACCUGAGAGGGUGAUCGGCCACACUGGAACUGAGACACGGUCCAGACUCCUACGGGAGGCAGCAGUAGGGAAUCUUCCGCAAUGGGCGAAAGCCUGACGGAGAAACGCCGCGUGAGUGAUGAAGGUCUUCGGAUCGUAAAACUCUGUUAUUAGGGAAGAACAUAUGUGUAAGUAACUGUGCACACCUUGACGGUACCUAAUCAGAAAGCCACGGCUAACUACGUG